CAGCAGCCACGGUAAUACGAGGGGGGCGAGCGUUGUUCGGAAUUAUUGGGCGUAAAGGGUGCGUAGGCGGUUCGGUAAGUCUUAUGUGAAAUCUUCGGGCUCAACUCGAAGUCUGCAUGAGAAACUGCCGGGCUUGAGUGUGGGAGAGGUGAGUGGAAUUUCCGGUGUAGCGGUGAAAUGCGUAGAUAUCGGAAGGAACACCUGUGGCGAAAGCGGCUCACUGGACCACAACUGACGCUGAUGCACGAAAGCGUGGGGAGCAAACAGGAUUAGAUACCCGGGUAGUCCCUGUCUCUUAUAC
rnacentral:rRNA from 1 species